rnacentral:rRNA from 1 species
UACGAAGGGGGCUAGCGUUGUUCGGAAUCACUGGGCGUAAAGCGCACGUAGGCGGAUUUUUAAGUCAGGGGUGAAAUCCUGGAGCUCAACUCCAGAACUGCCUUUGAUACUGAAGAUCUUGAGUUCGGGAGAGGUGAGUGGAACUGCGAGUGUAGAGGUGAAAUUCGUAGAUAUUCGCAAGAACACCAGUGGCGAAGGCGGCUCACUGGCCCGAUACUGACGCUGAGACGCGAAAGCGUGGGUAGCAAACAGG